rnacentral:rRNA from 1 species
AUUGAACGCUGGCGGCAGGCCUAACACAUGCAAGUCGAGCGAGCGUCGGACGGGUGAGUAAUGUCUGGGAAACUGCCUGUUGGAGAGGGAUAACAACAGGAAACGGGAGCGAAUACCGCACAAAAUGCGCUGUGCCAAGAUGGGGUUAGCGAGUAGGUGGGGUAACGUCUCACAUCGGCGACGAUCGCUAGCUGGUCUGAGAGGAUGCCCAGCCAUACUGGAACUGAGACACGGUCCAGACUCCUACGGGAGGCAGCAGUGGGGAAUAUUGCACAAUGGGCGCAAGCCUGAUGCAGCCAUGCCGCGGGUGUGAAGAAGGUCUUCGGGUUGUAAAGCACUGUCAGCGGGGAGGCGUUAUCCGCAGAAGAAGCACCGGCUAACUCCGUGCCAGCAGCCGCGGUAAUAC